UACGUAGGGUGCAAGCGUUAAUCGGAAUUACUGGGCGUAAAGCGCACGUAGGCGGCUUUGUAAGUUAGAGGUGAAAGCCCGGGGCUCAACUCCGGAACUGCCUUUAAGACUGCAUCGCUUGAAUCCAGGAGAGGUGAGUGGAAUUCCGAGUGUAGAGGUGAAAUUCGUAGAUAUUCGGAGGAACACCAGUGGCGAAGGCGGCUCACUGGCUCGACACUGACGCUGAGGUGCGAAAGCGUGGGGAGCAAACAGG
rnacentral:rRNA from 1 species